rnacentral:lncRNA from 1 species
UUACUAUUACUAUUACUAUCAUUAUUAUAUCAUAUACUGUGACCAUCAUUAUCGUCAGUAUCGAUGCAUCAAUGACAGAACAUAAGAAUAGACAAACCUUCGAGUCGUCAAUAAUCAUUGAAAAAUACUCAACGAGAAAAUCGUUAAGUCAUUAAAGAAGAGAUACAAUUGGAAAAGUCCAUAGUCAAGCCGUUUUCCAAUUCUUUCUUACGCAGAUAUAUCACACAGAAGUAGAAACGCAGCCGCACUACAGUUUUCGUUAUACAAGAGCUUUACAGGGUAGUGAAUAAGACGGGGAAUGGAAUAGUUGCAAGCGCAGACGAUCGAAAGCGAAUUCACCCGCCUGUGGAAGACAUAACGUGAAUGCAUCACAUACGUGUGUACGUAGAGCAACAUCGUUCUCGUAGGAAAUUGCUUCUCUGCAUCCUUUGA